GACGAACGCUGGCGGCGUGCCUAAUACAUGCAAGUUGAGCGAUGAAGAUUGGUGCUUGCACCGAUUUGAAGAGCAGCGAACGGGUGAGUAACGCGUGGGGAAUCUGCCUUUGAGCGGGGGACAACAUUUGGAAACGAAUGCUAAUACCGCAUAACAACUUUAAACAUAAGUUUUAAGUUUGAAAGAUGCAAUUGCAUCACUCAAAGAUGAUCCCGCGUUGUAUUAGCUAGUUGGUGAGGUAAAGGCUCACCAAGGCGAUGAUACAUAGCCGACCUGAGAGGGUGAUCGGCCACAUUGGGACUGAGACACGGCCCAAACUCCUACGGGAGGCAGCAGUAGGGAAUCUUCGGCAAUGGACGAAAGUCUGACCGAGCAACGCCGCGGGAGUGAAGAAGGGUUUCGGAUCGUAAAACUCUGUUGGUAGAGAAGAACGUUGGUGAGAGUGGAAAGCUCAUCAAGUGACGGUAACUACCCAGAAAGGGACGGCUAACUACGUG
rnacentral:rRNA from 1 species